ensembl:lncRNA
AUGCUAAAUUUAUGCAAACAGCUGUAUAUCUCAAUCUUUUUAUUUUUUCAGGUGGUGUAUGUUAAAGGGGAGCCAGCAACACCUAUUCCAGGCCCUCAGGGCCCUCCAGGAGCCCCUGGAGUAUCUGGAGUUCCAGGAGCUGCUGGACAAAGAGUAAGUUUGUCUGUGUGUAAAUAUGUUCAAGGUAAAUAUGUUGCUGUUAUAUAUCAUGAUGCAAGUUAUAAUAAUGUGACUUUUGUAGGGGGAGAGAGGUCUACCAGGCUUGAAAGGAGAUUUGGUGAGUGUGUUUUUACGAAUUUGUAUCUUAGUGGUCACUGCUCUGAGCUGACAUAAGGCAGUUCUCUCAGCAUACCUGACUGUAAUAAUUAAACUCUUUCGAUUGACAGGGUGAUCCAGGAGAGGAUGGCAGACCAGGAACUGCAGUGGUAAGCAAAACGCUCUCGCACACAGUCACACAUGCAUGGCUGGCAAGAUGACUAAUGUUGUUUUCCCCCUGUUUUGUCAUAGGAUGUGAAGAGAGCUUUUUCAGAAUUUGGCAUUGAGGUACUGAGAAAUUUAUCAAAAUGAUUGACAGAGUUUGUAUGUAGAUGUAGUUGUCACCUUCUCCCCUGUUAUUUGCAUACACUUUUCACUGCAGGUCAGAGAACUGAAACUAUUAGUUGAUGACAGAAGCAAUCUGAUGUCAAAGUUGAAUGAAUUGAUGGAGAGAAAGAAGGGAGAAAAAGGAGAUGCAGGACCUAGAGGCCCUCCAGGAGCAGAUGUGAGUUAAAAUCGUGCAUAUGUGCUACAAAGUGGUCUUUGGUAGUUUAUGUGUGAUUAGGUGUCAUUGUACCUUUUGCAAUGAAGAUCAUGCAAAAAAAAAAAAAAAAAAUCAUUGGGCGCCGACCAUGGUGCUGAAAUGUAUUUCUGGUUAGAAAACAUCAAUCAACUCUAUAUUUCUUUCUUGUCUCAUCCUCUCCUCUUCUUUCUUUUUUAAACCUUGUUCUCUCUUCCUUGCAUACUGGCAUUCAGGGUGCAAGGGGUUUUCCAGGUGAACGAGGUGUGAAAGGAGAGCAGGGUGAGAAAGGGCCUCCUGGCCCACAGGGUCCUCCAGGCAGGGCAAUUGGAGAAAGAGGCCCAGAAGGUCCACCAGGACAGGCAGGUGAACCCGGAAAGCCAGGAAUACCAGGAGUACCAGGACGAGCCGGUGAACUUGGAGAAGCUGGCAGACCUGGGGACAAGGUAAAGAUAAGAAGAGCAUUGGUAUUUUGUUACUAUAGCUGUUUUACUUCUUUUAGGAGAUAAAGAGCUGAUUAAAGAAAACACUUGAUAUAAAAUUAUUGUAGAAAUGAGAUUAAACUUUGUCUUUGUUGCAGGGGGCAAAAGGGGAGAAAGGGGACAGAGGGCCAGCUGUAAGUACCAUUACUAUAAUUCAUGCAUGCUCACGCAAGAUCCAGAAUGAGCUUUGCCUCACUUGCUAAUGCCAGUUGAAUUAAAAAAAUGUUCCAGCAAAAAUAAAUAAAUAAAUACAUUUAUUUUGCUGGUGCA